rnacentral:lncRNA from 1 species
AGAGGAGGAGGAGGAGGAGAGGGGAAGGGGAAGAAAAGCUGCUGCUCCAGAUGCACUAAGAAGUUUUUUAAUUGCAUUUAACAGCGUCCCUGCUGGUUCUCCAUUCUGCAUCCGUGCAGCCACGUUCUAUUGAUGGCCUGUUGUGAUUUCAAUGGAACAUCAUGGGAUGUACCUGGCACGUCGGGCAGCACUGGAUGGAGGUGCCUUUAGCCCAAUGUACCUGGCAUGGUGGUAAGGUGAAGGC